CCGGCGAGUGGCGGACGGGUGAGGAACACAUCGGAAUCUGCCCCGUCGUGGGGGAUAACGUAGGGAAACUUACGCUAAUACCGCAUACGACCCGAGGGUGAAAGCGGGGGACCGCAAGGCCUCGCGCGAUGGGAUGAGCCGAUGUCCGAUUAGCUGGUUGGCGGGGUAAUGGCCCACCAAGGCGACGAUCGGUAGCUGGUCUGAGAGGAUGAUCAGCCACACUGGGACUGAGACACGGCCCAGACUCCUACGGGAGGCAGCAGUGGGGAAUAUUGGACAAUGGGCGCAAGCCUGAUCCAGCCAUGCCGCGUGGGUGAAGAAGGCCUUCGGGUUGUAAAGCCCUUUUGUCCGGGAAGAAAGCGCCCUGGUGAACAGCCGGGGUGGAUGACGGUACCGGAAGAAUAAGCACCGGCUAACUUCGUGCCAGCAGCCGCGGUAAUACGAAGGGUGCAAGCGUUACUCGGAAUUACUGGGCGUAAAGCGUGCGUAGGCGGUUCGUUAAGUCAGAUGUGAAAGCCCCGGGCUCAACCUGGGAAUGGCAUUUGAUACUGGCGGGCUAGAGUACGGUAGAGGGUGGUGGAAUUCCCGGUGUAGCAGUGAAAUGCGUAGAGAUCGGGAGGAACAUCCGUGGCGAAGGCGGCCACCUGGACCAGUACUGACGCUGAGGCACG
rnacentral:rRNA from 1 species